rnacentral:rRNA from 1 species
UACCGCGAAACUGCGAAUGGCUCAUUAAAUCAGUUAUUGUUUAUUUGAUAGUACCUUACUACUUGGAUAACCGUGGUAAUUCUAGAGCUAAUACAUGCUAAAAACCCCGACUUCGGGAGGGGUGUAUUUAUUAGAUUAAAAACCAACGCCCUUCGGGGCUUCUUGGUGAUUCAUGAUAACUUCUCGGAUCGCACGGCCUUGCGCCGGCGACGGUUCAUUCAAAUUUCUGCCCUAUCAACUUUCGACGGCUGGGUAUUGGCCAGCCGUGGUGACAACGGGUAACGGAGGGUUAGGGCUCGACCCCGGAGAAAACGCCUGAGAAACGGCGUUUACAUCCAAGGAAGGCAGCAGGCGCGCAAAUUACCCAAUGCCGACUCGGCGAGGUAGUGACGAUAAAUACUGGUACGGGGCUCUUUAGGGUCUCGUAACUGGAAUGAGUACAAUUUAAAUCCCUUAACGAGGAACAAUUGGAGGGCAAGUCUGGUGGACGACCACAAAUCUCCCGUUUUGCUGGCGCCAGAAAUAGUAGGUCCUUGGGGUUAGCGGCCCCUGAAAACUGCUAGUCGAUUCACCCUUCACAGUGGCAGGUGGGUGACGGCAACACAACCUGGAUCGGGGAAGGCUAAGGGCCCUAUGGCCUAUGCUAAUCCCGAGCGGAGCGGCGCCGGGGCGAUCCGGAGCAUGCCCGUGUAGAGCGCGGAAAGGUGUGGGCGGUUCUAUCCCCAGUGGGGAGGCCGCUUGAGGGACGUGCCUGCCUUCGCGAAAGCGAACCGCUGCUUGGAGCGCCUGCCGCGCAAAGAGCAGUGGGCCCGUCGGGGCGCCCAAAGCGAUUACGCUUCUGGGGCCUCAGCGGGUGGAGAUCA